CUCCGGGUGCUCCAGCUUCCUCCCACAUCCAAAGACAUGCAGCUUAGGUGGACUGCAACCUUUAAAUUGUUCAUAGUGCACUGGUAGACUAAG